rnacentral:rRNA from 1 species
GACAGAGGGUGCAAACGUUGUUCGGAAUUACUGGGCGUAAAGCGCGUGUAGGCUGCUGCGCAAGUCGGAUGUGAAAGCCCUGGGCUCAACCUAGGAAGUGCAUUCGAUACUGCGGAGCUCGAGUCCUGGAGAGGAAGGCGGAAUUCUCGGUGUAGAGGUGAAAUUCGUAGAUAUCGAGAGGAACACCGGUGGCGAAGGCGGCCUUCUGGACAGUGACUGACGCUGAGACGCGAAAGCGUGGGGAGCAAACAGG